rnacentral:rRNA from 1 species
AUGGAUUUGGGGGCAGAGCAGCACGGCUGCGAGCAUUACACGAGGAGGUGCAGGAUACGGGCGCCCUGCUGUGGCGAGGUCUUCGGCUGCCGGCAUUGCCAUAACCAAGCUAAGAAUUCGCUGGAGGUGGACCUCCUCGACCGGCACGAGAUCCCCCGCCACGAAAUCAGCAAGGUUAUCUGCUCUCUCUGCAACAAAGAACAGGAUGUGCAACAGAACUGCUCCGGUUGUGGGGCAUGCAUGGGAAAAUACUUCUGUGAAAAAUGCAACUUCUUUGACGAUGAUAUCUCAAAGAAGCAGUACCACUGCGAUGGAUGCGGCAUCUGCAGAACUGGCGGCAUGGACAAUUUCUUCCACUGCGAAAAAUGCGGGUGUUGCUACAGCAAUGUUUUGAAGGACUCUCAUCAUUGUGUGGAACGAGCAAUGCAUCACAACUGCCCUGUCUGCUUCGAGUAUCUAUUUGACUCGACCAUGGACAUCAGCGUACUGCACUGCGGGCACACGAUCCAUUUGGAAUGCCUGAACGAGAUGAGGGUUCAUCACCACUUCGCGUGCCCGGUCUGCUCACGGUCGGCCUGCGACAUGACGGAUGCAUGGCAGAAGCUCGACCAGGAGGUCGCCGCCACGCCCAUGCCAGAGUUCUACCAGAAGAAGAUGGUAAGCAACUUUAAUAAGAUGGCCGCAUGCAUCGUUCUGAUGAAGAGGCCGGGGGUAUGGAUCCUUUGCAACGACUGCGGGGCGACGUCGAGCGUGCGCUUCCAUGUCCUGGCGCAAAAGUGUCCUGGGUGCAGCUCCUACAACACCAGGGAGACGAGGGGCGGCCCGGCUACAGCGGCGUGCUCCAGAGUCUGA